AACGAACGCUGGCGGCAUGCCUAACACAUGCAAGUCGAACGAGAUCUUCGGGUCUAGUGGCGCACGGGUGCGUAACGCGUGGGAAUCUGCCCUUUGGUUCGGAAUAACAGUUGGAAACGACUGCUAAUACCGGAUGAUGACGAAAGUCCAAAGAUUUAUCGCCAGAGGAUGAGCCCGCGUAGGAUUAGCUAGUUGGUGUGGUAAAGGCGCACCAAGGCGACGAUCAGUAGCUGGUCUGAGAGGAUGAUAAGCCACGCUGGGACGGAGACACGGCCCAGACUCCUACGGGAGGCAGCAGUGGGGAAUAUUGGACAAUGGGCGAAAGCCUGAUCCAGCAAUGCCGCGUGAGUGAUGAAGGCCUUAGGGUUGUAAAGCUCUUUUACCCGGGAUGAUAAUGACAGUACCGGGAGAAUAAGCUCCGGCUAACUCCGUGCCAGCCGCCGCCGUAA
rnacentral:rRNA from 1 species